GACGAACGCUGGCGGCGUGCCUAAUACAUGCAAGUAAAACGCUGAAGGAGGAGCUUGCUUCUCUGGAUGAGUUGCGAACGGGUGAGUAACGCGUAGGUAACCUGCCUGGUAGCGGGGGAUAACUAUUGGAAACGAUAGCUAAUACCGCAUAAUAGCAGUUGUUGCAUGACAACUGUUUGAAAGGUGCAAUUGCACCACUACCAGAUGGACCUGCGUUGUAUUAGCUAGUUGGUGGGGUAACGGCUCACCAAGGCGACGAUACAUAGCCGACCUGAGAGGGUGAUCGGCCACACUGGGACUGAGACACGGCCCAGACUCCUACGGGAGGCAGCAGUAGGGAAUCUUCGGCAAUGGACGGAAGUCUGACCGAGCAACGCCGCGUGAGUGAAGAAGGUUUUCGGAUCGUAAAGCUCUGUUGUAAGAGAAGAACGAGUGUGAGAGUGGAAAGUUCACACUGUGACGGUAUCUUACCAGAAAGGGACGGCUAACUACGUG
rnacentral:rRNA from 1 species